rnacentral:rRNA from 1 species
CAGUCGCCGCGGUAAUACGUAGGGGGCAAGCGUUAUCCGGAAUUACUGGGUGUAAAGGGAGCGUAGACGGUUAAACAAGUCUGAAGUGAAAUGCCGGGGCUCAACCCCGGAGCUGCUUUGGGAACUGUAGAACUGGAGUGUCGGAGGGGUAAGCGGAAUUCCCAGUGUAGCGGUGAAAUGCGUAGAUAUUGGGAGGAACACCGGCGGCGAAGGCGGCUUACUGGAGGACAACUGACGUUGAGGCUCGAAGGCGUGGGUAGCAAACAGGAUUAGAUACCCGGGUAGUCCCUGUCUCUUAUAC